rnacentral:rRNA from 1 species
UACAGAGGUCUCAAGCGUUGUUCGGAUUCAUUGGGCGUAAAGGGUGCGUAGGCGGCUUGUCACGUCGGGUGUGAAAGCCCGGGGCUUAACCCCGGGUCUGCAUUCGAUACGGGCUAGCUAGAGUGUGGUAGGGGAGAUCGGAAUUCCUGGUGUAGCGGUGAAAUGCGCAGAUAUCAGGAGGAACACCGGUGGCGAAGGCGGAUCUCUGGGCCUGACCUGACGCUGAGGAGCGAAAGCGUGGGGAGCAAACAGG